CAGCAAAUCUAACGGAGACUGUCUUUCCUUCCUCACUGACAACGGCUACUGGAAAUUUGACAUGUGCGAGAACAAGAGAGGCUACAUCUGCAAGAGAAGAGCGGCGACAGCGCAACCAGCUCCGCUGCCUCACGCUGGCUUCGUCAAGCUCGAGGUAUGCAAGAACGCGGACGGCCGCGCCACCUGUCCCGAGGGCAAAGCCAUCCGCAUCCAGUCGGCCUUCUACGGACGGAGGAGCGGUGACGUCUGCCCAACCCAAAUGGGAU